GACGAACGCUGGCGGCGUGCUUAACACAUGCAAGUCGAACGGAAAGGCCCUGCUUUUGUGGGGUGCUCGAGUGGCGAACGGGUGAGUAACACGUGAGUAACCUGCCCUUGACUUUGGGAUAACUUCAGGUAACUGGGGCUAAUACCGGAUAGGAGCUCCUGCUGCAUGGUGGGGGUUGGAAAGUUUCGGCGGUUGGGGAUGGACUCGCGGCUUAUCAGCUUGUUGGUGGGGUAGUGGCUUACCAAGGCUUUGACGGGUAGCCGGCCUGAGAGGGUGACCGGCCACAUUGGGACUGAGGUACGGCCCAGACUCCUACGGGAGGCAACAGUGGGGAAUAUUGCACAAUGGGCGGAAGCCUGAUGCAGCAACGCCGCGUGCGGGAUGACGGCCUUCGGGUUGUAAACCGCUUUCGCCUGUGACGAAGCGUGAGUGACGGUAAUGGGUAAAGAAGCACCGGCUAACUACGUG
rnacentral:rRNA from 1 species